GAUGAACGCUGGCGGCGUGCCUAAUACAUGCAAGUCGAGCGAACGGACGAGAAGCUUGCUUCUCUGAUGUUAGCGGCGGACGGGUGAGUAACACGUGGAUAACCUACCUAUAAGACUGGGAUAACUUCGGGAAACCGGAGCUAAUACCGGAUGAUAUUUUGAACCGCAUGGUUCAAAAGUGAAAGACGGUCUUGCUGUCACUUAUAGAUGGAUCCGCGCUGCAUUAGCUAGUUGGUAAUGUAACGGCUUACCAAGGCAACGAUGCAUAGCCGACCUGAGAGGGUGAUCGGCCACACUGGAAGUGAGACACGGUCCAGACUCCUACGGGAGGCACCAGUAGGGAAUCGGCCGCAAAGGGCGAAAGCCUGACGGAGCAACGCCGCGUGAGUGACGAAGGUCUUCGGAUCGUAAAACUCUGUUAUUAGGGAAGAACAUAUGUGUAAGUAACUGUGCACAUCUUGACGGUACCUAAUCAGAAAGCCACGGCUAACUACGUG
rnacentral:rRNA from 1 species